rnacentral:lncRNA from 1 species
AUGCUUUCAGAGGUUUCCAAAGAUAGCCAGGUUGCUGCAGCCAUAAAGAUCUCCAGGAUAACUGUAGACAAAAGGAGUUUAUGUUGUUUUUCACAAGUUGUAAUCUAUCCAAUUAAUAUUAAGGAGCCUUUCUACAUGAACUGUCAAUGGAGGAGAAGUCAAGCAAAGGGGACUUGCUGCCUGCCACGUCUGCCUCCUGCUGUGAAAUCACAACAAUGCAACCAGGAAUAGCUGGUAAAAGUCCCAGUCUUGAACACAGGGGUGUAAUUUCCUAUGAUAAAUAGUUUGGACAAAGGCUAAUCAAAAUUACUUUCUGGUUCUACCUUAUUCAGCAAGACAAAUGCAUGACAUGGUCCCAGAGGCAGGGAUUUGCUUUAAUUUGCAGAUGUCUUUGCUCACAUCUGUUUGACCACGUUGGCAGCCCCCCUCCCCCAUCUCUUUGCACCUGGGUGGGGCACGGGCCCAUAUGUCCUGGCACCAUGGCCUUUUCACCUGCAGACCUGCCUCCAUAGGCUGAGUACCAUUCACCUCAUCCACUGCAGGAAGUUACUCUCUCACAUGCUUCAAAUGUACAUUCCAGAAAGCAAAAGGGUUUCCAAUGAUUUGAAGACAGUGACGCUGACAGUGUGCAUUACCAUUCUCAUCUCUAGGACCUCCCAGUUCUUUCAGCAGCCUGAUGGGCAUAUGUAGUCUAUAUGGUCAAAUGGGCAAGAAGAUGUAAGGAAAUCCUUUUUUUAAAACUUGGAUAUAUAUUUUUUUUAACUUGGAUACUUGGAUCACAAAAGGAAAUCUCAAGACUUUGACUUGAGGCACCAUUUCUACAUGGGUUGAAGGAUUUCAAGAAGCAUCCCAAGUAGGGCAACCAGAUCUGCUAAGACGGUAUCUCUACAGCUUUUGGACUUAGCUAAUGACAUCAGGGAAAAGGGAAGGUCAGUUUCCUUUGUGUGAAAUGGCAAACAUGUGAGCAGGGACUUGUAAGUUCAGACCAUACCAUAAGCAGGCUUCAGUGUUUCACGCCUUCUGUUUUUAUUGCUUUGUGAGAUGGACCAAUUAAAACAAUCCAAAGGCCACAUUUAUGAAUAGCUCUCUGAUGAGACCAACUUCCCUUGGUGUGAGCCUCACACAGUGGAUAUAUAGCGACAGUAUCUGAGUAGGAAAUGUUGGCUGGAGUGAGAGGGAUUCCACAGAGUGGGUGUCUUUCCCCGUCCUAGGUCUUAACCUUUCAUAGUGAGACAGACAACUAGGAAAGUAGGAAAUAGAAACAAGCUAUGUUUAGCUGAAUUUUACAUACCAUAAUCUCUUUACCAUGGUCAAGCAAGGCAGGAAUGUUCAGGCCGAUCGGUUCUGGCUCAAAUCCAUUCCAGAGGGAAGUGAUUUACAACUUAGCACCAUCCUUGUCUCUUCCCUGAGAGUGAAGUUAAAUGACCCAAGAAUAACAUUAGUCUGCCCCAGGCCUCGC